rnacentral:lncRNA from 1 species
AUGAACGUUAUUUUAGUUAGAAAUGUUACAGUAAAAGUGCUUGUAUUGCGGUCUCGGCUCGUAUGUUCGGCCGCGCUCGGUGUCGUACUUCUCCCGCUACGUUUCCCCCUGAUUUUAAUAGAAGUUUGUAUUUUAGGACCAAAAGAGAAAACCAGGGAAUUUAUUAAGCUUAGGGCGGAGAUGGACCACAUGAUCACCGGAGCAAAGUAUUCGGCGGCUGUGGCAUGGAGACUAUUCUGGAGAAAAUGGGCAUCCAGGGGAAGGUGCCAGCGAUGAGCUUCUGGAGCUGAUCUGGGAGGACAUGAGGCUGCAGAGCAGCAGAGAGCACAGGAGAGAAGGAAGAACUUUGACAGCUUUUUACUUUGCUAGAAAAAAUGGUUAAGGAAGAUUAAACAUGUACAUAUAAAAGAAAUAUCUAAAUAAAAUCAGUUCUGCAUUAAACUCUUGAAUUUUAUUUUUGUUUACAAAUGAGAAUUGUUUACUAGAGGGUAUCCGCUGGGUCUUGAAAAGUCUUAAAAGGUGAUAAAUCGGUUUUGGUCAAAUUAAGACCCUUAGAAAGUAUUAAAAACUAUUAUCACAUCUUUGCUCAGGCUCAGCUUGUCUAAAGUAUUUUCUCUGAAUUAGCUCUCCAACAGUCAAGGAAAUGAUUAACCCCCAGAGACCCACGGUUGUAAUAUUACAACAUCAGAUUUACGUCUACAAAAAUAAACCUUCCCCCUUUUUUUUUCUUUUUAAAACCACAUUUACAUUGCUAAUAGGUCCUAUUGUUCAGUUCUGCAACACUAUUGGCUGUUAAAAUGUGUAAAUAGGCCCGUUUAUCUGGCCUAGAACAACAUGUGAAAGGUUAAAAAAAGAUUUUGCAGUUGUUUUCUAAAUUUGGGUUUCUGGGGGUAAAAAAGCUAAAUAAAACGUCGAGCUCCAUCGUUUAAAGUUCCUUCUCCCUUCUGCCCAGCGGUUCCACGGUUGCUAGGCGACGGAACGUUCGCCGAGGGAGUUCAUGAAGGCUAGGCCUGUCCAAAUUCACAGCCGUUAACAUCCGGUCUAUCCGGCCGACGGAGGACGCAGCCCACGUCGGCCGGGUAGGCUGGGUCCUUCGAAGGAUGCAGACCCUGAAUUGAGACACAGCCAACAUAACAAAGAUUGUUUGUAACAAUGGAUCACUUUGAUCCUUUUUCAAAUCCUAAAACAUUGUAAACAUUUAAUCAUUAAUUCAUCUGUACUAUUUAUUAAUUUUUUAAUCAGACUUUUUCCUAUCAUGACCUCAAAUAUUAUCCUCGGCCUAAAGGCACCCCAGAGCAUUAAUGGGGAUUAUCUCAGGGAGAAUGUCCUUUAGCUGCUGUUGGAAAGAAAUCAAACAUGGCAUUUUUUUUCUACGUAUUAACUUAAAUGGAAGUAGUUGCAAUCUUGCGCUGAUAAUGUUUAAAGCUUAAGCAUCCAUGACAGGAGACGUGUGAUGUUGGACGGACGGACGGACAGACGGACGGACGGACAGACGGACAGACGGACGGACGGACGGACAGACAGACAGACAGACAGACAGACAGACAGACAGACGGACAGACGGACAGACAGACAGACAGACAGACAGACAGACAGACAGACAGAUAGAUAGAUAGAUAGAUAGACAGAUAGAUAGAUAGAUAGAUAGAUAUCUACUGUUUUGAACAACAAAACCAUGAUAGAUAUUUUCCAUAUCCCAGCCCUAAGAUACUGCAGCGAUUUAACUGAAGAAGAAAAAGUGAAUAAGACAUUUAAGGGUUAGGGUUAAGCCUAAUUUAUACUUCUACGUCAGCUCCAUGAGGGAGAUACGCACACAUGUUGACAGAGAUGCUUUGCUUUCAGACUUCUCAGUCAGCUGGGGAUUGUUGCAAAACAAUUCCCCGCCAGAACAGAGGGCGUUGCACUGUUCUGAGGUAUCCUGCCACCAUUGCAG